UAGCUGCCUGACUACUACCCUGACAAAGUGUAUUCAAUUAUUUUUGAAAGAACAAUUGACCUUCUUGGACUCAGUUACCCCAACAUCUCUACCCAAAACACAGAGAAAACCCUCAGAAGUUACAAGACUUUACCUUUAAAUACAUUAUUUAAAAAAGAAGAAGAAAGAAGAAAAGGGAGGUGCAGGAAGAGAGACUUUGGGGAUAUGCAUCAUGUCAGUCUGAUACAGCUCAAUGAAACAAGCAGUAACCUCCUGAAAACAGAGAUGGUAAUCGAAAUGUUGAUUAAGCUUAACUGA
rnacentral:lncRNA from 1 species